GAUGAACGCUGGCUACAUGCUUAACACAUGCAAGUCGAGGGGAAACGCCGGGGAAUCUUGCUUCUCCUGGUGUCGACCGACGCACGGGUGAGUAACGCGUAUCCAACCUGUCUCUGACUGAUGGCUAACCCGUCCAACGUCUGCCUAAUACCUCUUUUCAUCGUCUGCUGGCAUCCAACGACGAUUAAAGCUUUCAUCGGCCAGUGGAGGGGCUGCGUCUGAUUAGCUUGUUGGCUAGGUAACGGCCAACCAAGGCGACGAUCAGUAGGGGUUCUGAGAGGAAGGUACCCCACAUUGGAGCUGAGACACAGUCCAAACUCCUACGGGAGGCAGCAGUGAGGAAUAUUGGUCACUGGGCGAGAGCCUGAAACAGCCAAGUAGCGUGCAGGAUGACGGCCCUAGGAGUUGUAAACUGCUUUUAUGCGGGGAUAAAGUGAGGGACGUGUCCUUCAUUGCAGGUACCGAAUGAAUAAGGACCGGCUAAUUCCGUG
rnacentral:rRNA from 1 species